rnacentral:rRNA from 1 species
GAUGAACGCUGGCGGCGUGCCUAAUACAUGCAAGUCGAGCGGACGGACGAGAAGCUUGCUUCUCUGAUGUUAGCGGCGGACGGGUGAGUAACACGUGGAUAACCUACCUAUAAGACUGGGAUAACUUCGGGAACCGGAGCUAAUACCGGAUAAUAUUUUGAACCGCAUGGUUCAAAAGUGAAAGACGGUCUUGCUGUCACUUAUAGAUGGAUCCGCGCUGCAUUAGCUAGUUGGUAAGGUAACGGCUUACCAAGGCAACGAUGCAUAGCCGACCUGAGAGGGUGAUCGGCCACACUGGAACUGAGACACGGUCCAGACUCCUACGGGAGGCAGCAGUAGGGAAUCUUCCGCAAUGGGCGAAAGCCUGACGGAGCAACGCCGCGUGAGUGAUGAAGGUCUUCGGAUCGUAAAACUCUGUUAUUAGGGAAGAACAUAUGCGUAAGUAACUGUGCACAUCUUGACGGUACCUAAUCAGAAAGCCACGGCUAACUACGUG